UACGGAGGGUGCUAGCGUUGUUCGGAAUCACUGGGCGUAAAGCGCGUGUAGGCGGUCUGCUAAGUCUGAUGUGAAAGCCCGGGGCUCACCCCCGGAAGUGCAUUGGAAACUGACAGACUGGAGUCCCGGAGAGGAGGGUGGAAUUCCUGGUGUAGCGGUGAAAUGCGUAGAUAUCAGGAGGAACACCGGUGGCGAAGGCGGCCCUCUGGACGGUGACUGACGCUGAGACGCGAAAGCGUGGGGAGCAAACAGG
rnacentral:rRNA from 1 species